AGUCGAGGGGUAUAAGUAGCAAUAUUUAGAGACCGGCGCACGGGUGAGUAACGCGUAUGCAACCUGCCCUUUACAGGGGGAUAGCCCGUAGAAAUGCGGAUUAAUACCUCAUAGUUCUGUUAGAUCGCAUGGUCUGACAGAUAAAGUUUCGGCGGUAAAGGAUGGGCAUGCGUGACAUUAGCUUGUUGGUGAGGUAACGGCUCACCAAGGCUACGAUGUCUAGGGGUUCUGAGAGGAAGAUCCCCCACACGGGCACUGAGACACGGGCCCGACUCCUACGGGAGGCAGCAGUAAGGAAUAUUGGUCAAUGGACGCAAGUCUGAACCAGCCAUGCCGCGUGGAGGAUGAAGGCCCUCUGGGUUGUAAACUUCUUUUAUCUGGGACGAAACCCAUCUUUUCCAAGAUGGUUGACGGUACCAGAGGAAUAAGCACCGGCUAACUCCGUGCCAGCAGCCGCGGUAAUACGGAGGGUGCAAGCGUUAUCCGGAUUCACUGGGUUUAAAGGGUGCGUAGGUGGACAGGUAAGUCAGUGGUGAAAUCCUUGAGCUUAACUCGAGAACUGCCAUUGAUACUAUCUGUCUUGAAUGUUGUGGAGGUGAGCGGAAUAUGUCAUGUAGCGGUGAAAUGCUUAGAUAUGACAUAGAACAUCGAUUGCGAAGGCAGCUCGCUACGCAAAUAUUGACACUGAGGCACGAAAGCGUGG
rnacentral:rRNA from 1 species